GAGACUUCAAUUGUGAGAUUGAAGCUGAUGGGAAAGUGGUAAUAAAGGGAUCCUAAAAACUCGUGAGAAAAUAGUAUGCAAGGACUUUGAAAUUUUUCUUCACAAUUGCUUCAAGCAUUCCGUUUUCCAAAUAAGUGGUUGGUUCUUGGUUAUUGACGGGACCAAGUAGCUUGAAUGAGAUGAAGCGUGUCGGUGGGCAUAGAUUUUGUGUGAGCAUAAGAAAAUUUUCAAAGCCCCUGAAUACUAUUUGCUCCCCCAUUGUUAGUAUCCCCCUUAUUACCAUUUCUUCAUCAACUUUAAUCUCACAAUUGAAGUCUCU
rnacentral:pre_miRNA from 1 species